rnacentral:rRNA from 1 species
GACGAACGCUGGCGGCGCGCCUAACACAUGCAAGUCGAACGGAGCUGAGAGAAGCUUGCUUUUCUUAGCUUAGUGGCGAACGGGUGAGUAACGCGUGAGUAACCUGCCCUGGAGUGGGGGACAACAGUUGGAAACGACUGCUAAUACCGCAUAAGCCCACGAUCCGGCAUCGGAUUGAGGGAAAAGGAUUUAUUCGCUUCAGGAUGGACUCGCGUCCAAUUAGCUAGUUGGUGAGGUAACGGCCCACCAAGGCGACGAUUGGUAGCCGGACUGAGAGGUUGAACGGGCACAUUGGGAAUGAGGCACGGCCCAGACUCCUACGGGAGGCAGCAGUGGGGGAUAUUGCACAAUGGGGGAAACCCUGAUGCAGCGACGCCGCGUGGAGGAAGAAGGUUUUCGGAUUGUAAACUCCUGUCGUUAGGGACGAUAAUGACGGUACCUAACAAGAAAGCACCGGCUAACUACGUG